rnacentral:rRNA from 1 species
UACGUAGGGUGCAAGCGUUUGUCCGGAAUUAUUGGGCGUAAAGAGCUCGUAGGCGGUCUGUCGCGUCUGCUGUGAAAACUCAGGGCUUAACCCUGAGCUUGCAGUGGGUACGGGCAGACUAGAGUGCGGUAGGGGAGUCUGGAAUUCCUGGUGUAGCGGUGAAAUGCGCAGAUAUCAGGAGGAACACCGGUGGCGAAGGCGGGACUCUGGGCCGAUACUGACGCUGAGGAGCGAAAGCGUGGGGGAGCGAACAGG